rnacentral:tRNA from 1 species
GCCUGGGUGGCUCAGUCAGUUAAGCAUCUGACUUCAGCUCAGGUCAUGAUCUCAUGGUUUGUGGGUUCGAGCCCCGCGUCGGGCU